rnacentral:tRNA from 1 species
GGGCAUGUGGUGUAGUUGGUUAUCACGCUCGCUUAGCAUCAGAGUGAAGCUUGCGAGAGGGGUCCGGUUCAAUCCCGGACAUGUCCA